rnacentral:miRNA from 1 species
CUCGGCGCCGGGCGCGGGCUCCGGGGUUGGGGCGAGGGAAUGCCUGGG